rnacentral:rRNA from 1 species
AGAGUUUGAUCAUGGCUCAGAACAAACGCUGGCGGCGUGCCUAACACAUGCAAGUCGUACGAGAAAGUCCGCUUCGGUGGAUGAGUAAAGUGGCGCACGGGUGAGUAACGCGUGGAUAAUCUACCCUUUAGUCUGGAAUAACUUAUCGAAAGGUGAACUAAUACCGGAUCAUAUCCCGAUUUCUUCGGCGAUCGGGAUCAAAGAAGGCCUCUGCUUGCAAGCUUUCACUGAAGGAUGAGUCCGCGUACCAUUAGCUAGUUGGCAGGGUAAUGGCCUACCAAGGUUAUGAUGGUUAGCUGGUCUGAGAGGAUGAUCAGCCACACUGGAACUGAAACACGGUCCAGACUCCUACGGGAGGCAGCAGUGAGGAAUAUUGCGCAAUGGGGGCAACCCUGACGCAGCAACGUCGCGUGAGUGAGGAAGGUUUUCGGAUUGUAAAGCUCUGUCGAGCGGAAAGAAGUGCAUGGUGGUUAAUAUCCAUCAUGCUUGACGGUACCGCUAAAGGAAGCACCGGCUAACUCCGUGCCAGCAGCCGCGGUAAUACGGGGGGUGCAAGCGUUGUUCGGAAUCAUUGGGCGUAAAGCGCGUGUAGGCGGCUGGACAAGUCAGAUGUGAAAGCCCUGGGCUUAACCCAGGAAGUGCAUUUGAAACUGUUCAGCUAGAGUAAGGGAGAGGAAAGUGGAAUUCCUGGUGUAGAGGUGAAAUUCGUAGAUAUCAGAGGAACACCGGUGGCGAAGGCGACUUUCUGGCCCUAUACUGACGCUGAGACGCGAAAGCGUGGGUAGCAAACAGGAUUAGAUACCCUGGUAGUCCACGCUGUAAACGAUGUUCACUAG